rnacentral:rRNA from 1 species
GUGGGGAAUAUUGCGCAAUGGCCGCAAGGCUGACGCAGCGACGCCGCGUGUGGGAUGAAGGCUUUCGGGCUGUAAACCACUGUCAGGGGGGACGAAUACCUGGCUUCGAUAAGAAGACCAGGGGUGACGGUACCCCCAGAGGAAGCACCGGCUAACUCCGUGCCAGCAGCCGCGGUAAGACGGAGGGUGCAAGCGUUGUCCGGAAUCACUGGGCGUAAAGAGCACGUAGGCGGCCGUUUAAGUCAUUUGUGAAAGCCCGGGGCUCAACCCCGGAACUGCAAGCGAAACUGGAUGGCUAGAGCACGGUUGAGGCGAGUGGAAUUCCCGGUGUAGCGGUGGAAUGCGUAGAUAUCGGGAAGAACACCAGUGGCGAAGGCGGCUCGCUGGGCCGAUGCUGACGCUGAGGUGCGAAAGCGUGGGGAGCAAACAGG